AUCACUUCCCGCCUGGCUUGCCUGAUGGAUUGCAUUUGACAUUCAGAGUUCAUUAGCUAAAGAAAUCACUUACAAACAAGUCAUGGAGAAGGGAUUCAGAAGACUUCACUAGACUGUCAGAGAUCCGUGACUCAAAAAAAAGGACAAUGAUUUUGGAAGCUGGGUGGCAAAUGGAUCAGAGGAGGAAAAGACUGGAAGCCUGGAGCCCAUGAAAAAGUGUAAGAAUCCAGGUAAGUGGUAAUGAGGGCAUGAGUGAUACUGGUAGCUAUGUGAAUGAAGAUAAGGGAAGAGAAGAAAGAGAUUAUGGAGGUAGAAUGGCUACGACCUGGCAAUUGACUGGUUAUGGGGGGAGGAAAGAAUCAAGGAUGAGAUAACAAGCCAGGUUUAAUAAAUGAGUGGAUGGGGGUGCUCUCCAUAAGAAAAAGGUAUAUGGAGGAGAGUUGGUUUUAGGAUGAUGAAUCCCAUUGUAAAAACAUUGAGUAUGAGAUACUGAUGGAGAGACUAGAAAGCAGUUGGUAUUGUGGGAUUGGGUUUCACAAGUUAGUGUUGUCAAUCUUUAACAUUUGUGGGGGUAAUGUUUCCAGAAAAUGGUGUAAAAGUCAAAAAAGGAAAAUGUUGAUAUAUUGAACUAUA